CCCCUUAAUUUUUGCAAGGAAAACCCAGCUUAAGGUAGCAAUAUCUUAAGUGCGGUGGUUCACGGGUGAGUAACACCCCGGUAAUAUGCCUUUAGGUCUGACAUAAUCCCGCGAAAGCGGGACUAAAAUCAGAUGAUGCAGCGGCUCGACAUCGAGACAGUUGUUAAACCUUCGGGGCCUAAAGAUGAGCCUGCGUCUGAUUAGGUAGUUGGCGGAGUAAAAGCCCACCAAGCCUGCGAUCAGUAGCUGGUCUGAGAGGAUGAUCGGCCACACUGGAACUGAGACACGGUCCAGACUCCUACGGGAGGCAGCAGUAAGGAAUAUUGCUCAAUGGCCGAAAGGCUGAAGCAGCAACGCCGCGUGGAGGAUGAAAUACUUUUGUAUGUAAACUCCUGUAAGAGGGGAAAAAUAUACAGUUUAUACUGUGUUUGAUUGUACCCUCAGAGUAAGCACCCGGCUAACUACGUUCCAACAGCCGCGGUAAUACGUAGGGUGCUAAAGUUGUCCGGAUUACUGGGUGUAAAGGGUGCUUAGGUGGGUUUG
rnacentral:rRNA from 1 species